AACAUUGCAACGACAAUAAAAAAUGGAGACAAAAACCCCUAUUUUCUCCAUAACAAACAAACCCCCCAAAAAAGUAAACGUAAUGAGUUUUUAUUAGAAUUCAUAAAACCCUAAAACUCCUAUAGAUCCAAUGAACAACAAGGGCAAUUCCUCCCUUGAAUUUGUUGACCCUUUACUCCUUGACCUAAAGAACUUCUACUAGGCUCCAAGAAACCGAUUCUUUGUUGUUGUCAUAGCAGCGACAUUGCUACUGCUUCCUUUGGCUCAACUCGCUUUUAGCCUCACCAGAAGCCUCCUUAGCCUUUCAUCAACAAGUGGAGAGUAUGAUUUCAAAAUUCAAGCAUCAAGCUUUGAUUUUUUUCGACUUUAAAGAGAUUUCUUAGAAAUACAAGGCAAGAUUUGAAAAGAUAAGGAAGAGAGAAGGGUUUUGAUGGUCGAAUCGUUCGGAGAAGGCCAUGGAUGACGGCAGCGGCUAGGGUUAGA
rnacentral:lncRNA from 1 species